rnacentral:rRNA from 1 species
GUGGGGAAUAUUGGACAAUGGGGGGAACCCUGAUCCAGCCAUGUCGCGUGUGUGAAGAAGGCCUUUUGGUUGUAAAGCACUUUAAGCGAGGAGGAGGCUACCGAGAUUAAUACUCUUGGAUAGUGGACGUUACUCGCAGAAUAAGCACCGGCUAACUCUGUGCCAGCAGCCGCGGUAAUACAGAGGGUGCAAGCGUUAAUCGGAUUUACUGGGCGUAAAGCGCGCGUAGGUGGCCAAUUAAGUCAAAUGUGAAAUCCCCGAGCUUAACUUGGGAAUUGCAUUCGAUACUGGUUGGCUAGAGUAUGGGAGAGGAUGGUAGAAUUCCAGGUGUAGCGGUGAAAUGCGUAGAGAUCUGGAGGAAUACCGAUGGCGAAGGCAGCCAUCUGGCCUAAUACUGACACUGAGGUGCGAAAGCAUGGGGAGCAAACAGGAUCAGAUACCCUGGUAGUCC